AAAAACGUAGUUUAUUGGUAAAACUCGGUAAAACCAGGAAUAGGGGGAUCCUGAAAUAAGUUCGACUCUUAUCGUUUUUU
rnacentral:tRNA from 1 species